rnacentral:lncRNA from 10 species
CUCAGCAACAAGGCCACACCAUACUACAUGAGAUGCAGGGCUAGCCACACAGUUGACCUUUCCAUUGCAAUAGAGAAGUAGAAUGAAUUUUGGUGGACAGCUGGGAGUUUCUAUCCCAGAUACGGAACAUCAGUGAUUUGGAGGAAUAAAGAAGAUGACGAAUGGCUUUGCUCAGGCAGGAAAAACAGUGAAAAUAAAAAGAUGUUUCAAAAUAUUAAUCACCAACCACAAAAUUACAAAAACAUGUGGUGAACUCAGAGCAAGAACUUCAAGCCUGUACUACCACACACUAAGCUUAGUACAAUUUUUACAAAAGACAAAAAUUGAACACUGCAGAUAUUACCGGUAAAAGGAAAGAAAUGAAGAUAGAGAACAGAGCUCUUGGUUUUUUGAACAGUGUGGUGGAAGACAAAAAUAGAGUGCUGAAGUAUCUACAAAGGAGCUAAAAACUGUCAAUGAUAUUGAUAAGUCUUAAGUAUAUUUGGAAAUAUUAAGGGGAUUAUUACAUUCAAAGGCUUAUAACAUGUCUACCUAGAUGGUUAUAUGACCUAAGUCCCCAGUCCACAUGCUCAACAUGAAGACCUAAUCAGAAGACUGGAGGCUGAUGAGCCACAACCCUUCCCACCUCCCCACUGCUUACCCAUGUAUUCCCAAUAGGGAAGCAGCCUGAUAUGAUGUUUCCAUCAUAUCAGAGCACAGGAUUUAUUGCCUAAUGCCAUUGUCACCCCUUGCUCAAGUGUGUGACAUGAACCUCAGUUUUCUCACCUACAUCUCCUUUGCUGUUUGGCUGUAAGGACUAAAAGAAUGGACGGAAAUUACUGGGCCUAUUAAGGCAUUCGAUGACUGAUGGCUCUUCCAUGGUCCAAUGGAUAAUCUCAUGCCUCCUACUCAAGAAGUGUCUCCAAAGGUUUCUAUGAAUUCUCAAGCCUCCAGGAAACUGAUUAAUGGUUAAUUGAGCAACUUGUUCAGUGCCAUGUGAUAAAUUAAUGACCAAGUAGAAAUCAACCCACUCAACCCCAGAACAUCAAUCAAAUGUUUCCCUAUGUUUCUAGUCUUACUGGCAUCUGAGUCACAUCCAAAUCCCAGGCUCCGAUGUUCAGUCUUUGCUGAAUUCCUGACUUGCAGCUACCAGCUACAGAGCUUGGAAGUGAUGACCUCAGCAGGCCUGGCCUUUCACCUUUCUACCUCCAAAGAGCUUUUGAAGGUGCAUAAGAUGCAGUCUUGGGUUCUGAGACAGUUAACCCUUUGUCAUGAUUAUGCUAUAGCCC